rnacentral:rRNA from 1 species
GCGACCCCAGGUCAGGCGGGAUUACCCGCUGAAUUUA